rnacentral:rRNA from 1 species
GCCGGGGUUUCUUUACCAGAUGCUGUCAUUAUCAUCUCUGGCGAAAGAGCUUUACAACCCUAAGGCCUUCGUCACUCACGCGGCAUGGCUAGAUCAGGCUUGCGCCCAUUGUCUAAGAUUCCCC